rnacentral:misc_RNA from 1 species
AGAAGAACAUUUUGCUUCUGCCUCUUAAUGUCAAUGUCACGGCAGUUUUGGUGUGACUUCACAGUUUUUCUACCUACUAGGUUUUUUUUUCUUUAUCCCAACAGCAGGGCAGGCUCGCAUGCACUGGCCCUGCAGGUAAGGGGUAUAUGGAAUUUUGGCUACCGAUCUUUGUACAGAUACCCCUCCCCUACUUUUUUUUU